GACAGAGGAUGCAAGCGUUAUCCGAAAUGAUUGGGCGUAAAGCGUCAGUAGGUGGCUUUUCAAGUCCGCCAUCAAAUCACAGGGCUCAACCCUGGACAGGCGGUAGAAACUACCAAGCUGGAGUAUGGUAGGGGCAGAGGGCUCGUAGAGCCGGUGGAGCGGUGAAAUACAUAGAGAUCGGAAAGAACACCAAUGGUGAAAGCACUCUGCUAGGCCGACACUGACAUUGAGAGACGAAAGCUAGGGGAGCAAAUAGG
rnacentral:rRNA from 1 species